rnacentral:rRNA from 1 species
CGUACACUCCUACGGGAGGCAGCAGUGGGGAAUUUUGGACAAUGGGCGAAAGCCUGAUCCAGCCAUGCCGCGUGCAGGAUGAAGGCCUUCGGGUUGUAAACUGCUUUUGUACGGAACGAAACGGCCUUUUCUAAUAAAGAGGGCUAAUGACGGUACCGUAAGAAUAAGCACCGGCUAACUACGUGCCAGCAGCCGCGGUAAUACGUAGGGUGCAAGCGUUAAUCGGAAUUACUGGGCGUAAAGCGUGCGCAGGCGGUUAUGUAAGACAGUUGUGAAAUCCCCGGGCUCAACCUGGGAACUGCAUCUGUGACUGCAUAGCUAGAGUACGGUAGAGGGGGAUGGAAUUCCGCGUGUAGCAGUGAAAUGCGUAGAUAUGCGGAGGAACACCGAUGGCGAAGGCAAUCCCCUGGACCUGUACUGACGCUCAUGCACGAAAGCGUGGGGAGCAAACAGGAUUAGAAACCCCAGUAGUCCCAUGA